AUCGCCUCCUGAAACCACAAGCAUAGGAGGUCCCGCCUGCCCUGUGAUCAUGUAUUUAACGGCCGCGGUAUUUUGACCGUGCAAAGGUAGCGCAAUCACUUGUCUUUUAAAUGGAGACCUGUAUGAAUGGCAUAACGAGGGCUUAACUGUCUCCCACCCCUAGUCAAUGAAAUUGAUUUUUCCGUGCAGAAGCGGAAAUCCCCCCAUAAGACGAGAAGACCCUGUGGAGCUUUAGACAAUAGCCGGACACUGUACAUCAUUGCACAUAACUGCAAUACAACUAAAGUGCUUCCGUUUUGCUGUCUUUGGUUGGGGCGACCGCGGGGAAAUGAUAAACCCCCAUGUGGAACAUUAGUACUUCUUUUUAAGUUAAGACUGUCAGCUCUACACAACAGAACUUCUGACCCAAUAUGACCCAGCACACCGCUGAUCAACGGAACUAGUUACCCCAGGGAUAACAGCGCAAUCCUCUCCCAGAGUUCAUAUCGACAAGAGGGUUUACGACCUCGAUGUUGGAUCAGGACAUCCUAAUGGUGCAGCCGCUAUUAAGGGUUCGUUUGUUCAACGAUUAAAGUCCUACGUGAU
rnacentral:rRNA from 1 species